rfam:Rattus norvegicus chromosome 7, whole genome shotgun sequence.
GGGGAUUUAGCUCAGCGGUAGAGCGCUUGCCUAGCAAACACGAGGCCCUGGGUUCGGUCCCCAGCUCUG